rnacentral:misc_RNA from 1 species
CUUUUUUUGUUUUUACCAUUAGAACAUUAAUUUGAAAAGUUCUAAGUGCAUUACUUGGGCUUGGGUUUGGGCCAAAAAACAAAGUGGGCCUUGAUUUGGGCUUUUUCUAACAGAGAAAAACCUCAACACUUGAACUUCUAAUGGCGAAACACAACGGGCAAGCUUGAGCAACAGCAUCACAUUCUGUACACAUACACAAGUGGCGACACGGCAGUACUACCACUGAGGCAACUCGUUUUCUACACGCUU